UGCCGGAUCGUCUAAUGGUAGGACGUCGCCCUCUGGAGGCGAAUAUUCUAGGUUCGAGUCCUAGUCCGGCAA
rfam:Microgenomates (Collierbacteria) bacterium GW2011_GWA2_42_17 TV06_C0007, whole genome shotgun sequence.